rnacentral:rRNA from 1 species
AUACGUAGGGGGCGAGCGUUGUCCGGAAUGAUUGGGCGUAAAGGGCGCGUAGGCGGCGCGGUAAGUCUGGAGUGAAAGUCCUGCUUUCAAGGUGGGAAUUGCUUUGGAUACUGCCGCGCUUGAGUGCAGGAGGGGUUAUCGGAAUUCCCGGUGUAGCGGUGAAAUGCGUAGAGAUCGGGAGGAACACCAGUGGCGAAGGCGGGUAACUGGACUGCAACUGACGCUGAGGCGCGAAAGUGUGGGGAGCAAACAGGAUUAGAUACCCUGGUAGUCCACACUGUAAACGAUGAAUACUAGGUGUAAGAGGUAUCGACCCCUUUUGUGCCGGAGUCAACACAAUAAGCAUUCCGCCUGGGGAGUACGGCCGCAAGGUUGAAACUCAAAUGAAUUGACGGGG